AAUCAUUCAACAAAUUAUUUCUGAUUGAAGAGAAUGACCACAUUUUGAUAUUCGGGACACAUCUGACAUUUGAAUAUACAUCCCUCUUACCUUUCUGACUGUCUCUUAAUAAUACUGCUUAGUGUUAGAGUUAGUUUGAAUGAGACAAAUAUAGUGGAGUAAUGAAAUCCUGAAAAUUGAAGAGAUACAAAUUUGGAAUUUGGAGAAUCUGGAGUAUUUCGACUAUAACAAGUUUCUCACCUCAGACUGUCCCAGGCGGUCCAGGUUGGAGAUGUCAAAAGUACCACCGACAGCAGCCGUGUCGACGCCACCUGUCCCUCGCUUCUGCAGACGCAGGUUGUCCAGGAUCUUACUGAAGCGGAUAUCCUGGAAGGUGGAGGACAAAAGCUACUCAGCACAGUUUCAAUGCAAUUAGAUGAACAUUUGAAUCCAUCUGCAUCUGUAUGUUUUUCUCGCAGGUAUUUGGAAUUACCAAGACUUUAACCACAAUCCAUCUGAGGUUGGUUUAGAAAGCAGCAGUUUAAUUAAAGUAAAACAAAUGUCCCUUUUCCCGGUGAUGGUUUGUACUUCCUCAUGGGGUCCAGAGGUGUUCCGAGGCCAGAUGACAUUAAUACUGUCUCUCCACAGUUUUCUGCACUUAGCAGUGUGAUGCCCUGAUAAAUCCCCCCCUCUCUAUCCAUCCAUCCAUCACUAACAAUCUUCAUAGCAACAUUUAUAGAAAAUAAAUUAAGAGCUUAUUUCCAAAUGAGCAGAAUCCAGAUAUUUAAACUCUUGGUCAACAACAUUUCCCACUUCAUUUAAUAAAAAUCUAUUUGUUGGUUUUCAAUAGCCUUUAAUAGUACAAUUGUAGUUCUUCUCAUCCUUCACUUUUGUGAAUAAAAGAUGUAAUAAAACAGAUAAAGAAGACUAGAUAUGUUGAUGCUUUUUGAGGCCUUAUCUUUGAUAAUCUAAUGCAUUCAUUUGGGACUAUCAUUAUGUAACACAAAUAGAAUAAAGAGUGAAAAGAUCGCACAUUA